AUGAUAAUGUUUCUGACUCCACUGCUGACCACGCUGCUGUUCGGACUUCAAGGAUCAGGUGCCAGUCCAUCUGUGACUCAGUCUCCUGCAUCAAAGGCUGUCAGUGUUGGAGAGACGGUCUCUCUGAGCUGUACAGCCAGUAGAGGAGUUGAUGAUGAUCUCAGCUGGUACCUGCAGAAACCUGGACAGCCUCCCAAACUGCUGUUUUACCAAAUAAGCAGCCGUGAGACUGGUACUCCGAGUCGGUUCAGCAGCAGCGGAUCUGAACCUGAAUUCACUCUGACCAUCAGUGGAGUUCAGACUGCAGAUGCAGCAGAUUACUACUGUAUGGGAGCGUAUGCUAGUGCGUCACACAGUGAUUUGUAG